CGGGGAUGCAGGGUGAUAGGGCCCAGUCUAUGCUCCGGUUGUGUUGUUGGGAUUUUCAAGAUGGGCCUUCCUAUCCAUAAGUUUGUCUUUAUACUGCAUAUUAAUUCACUCUUUUGGUUUUUCAAAUGCCCUGAUGGGAUGACCCUAAACAUGGAUAGUUUAACUUGGUAUAUCAGCUCAAACACCUGAUCCGCAAAAUG